GGACGAGGGGCCCCUCUCGGGUUACCGAAUUCAGACAAACUCCGAAUGCCAAUUAAUUUAACUUGGGAGUCAGAACAUGGGUGAUAAGGUCCGUGUUCGAAAGGGAAACAGCCCAGACCACCAGCUAAGGUCCCAAAAUAUAUGUUAAGUGGAAAAGGAUGUGGCGUUGCCCAGACAACUAGGAUGUUGGCUUAGAAGCAGCCAUCAUUUAAAGAGUGCGUAAUAGCUCACUAGUCGAGUGACACUGCGCCGAAAAUGUACCGGGGCUAAACAUAUUACCGAAGCUGUGGAUUGUCCUUUGGACAAUGGUAGGAGAGCGUUCUAAGGGCGUUGAAGCAUGAUCGUAAGGACAUGUGGAGCGCUUAGAAGUGAGAAUGCCGGUGUGAGUAGCGAAAGACGGGUGAGAAUCCCGUCCACCGAUUGACUAAGGUUUCCAGAGGAAGGCUCGUCCGCUCUGGGUUAGUCGGGUCCUAAGCUGAGGCCGACAGGCGUAGGCGAUGGAUAACAGGUUGAUAUUCCUGUACCACCUAUAAUCGUUUUAAUCGAUGGGGGGACGCAGUAGGAUAGGCGAAGCGUGCGAUUGGAUUGCACGUCUAAGCAGUAAGGCUGAGUAUUAGGCAAAUCCGGUACUCGUUAAGGCUGAGC
rnacentral:rRNA from 1 species